AUUGAACGCUGGCGGCAGGCCUAACACAUGCAAGUCGAGCGGAUGAAGGGAGCUUGCUCCUGGAUUCAGCGGCGGACGGGUGAGUAAUGCCUAGGAAUCUGCCUGGUAGUGGGGGAUAACGUCCGGAAACGGGCGCUAAUACCGCAUACGUCCUGAGGGAGAAAGUGGGGGAUCUUCGGACCUCACGCUAUCAGAUGAGCCUAGGUCGGAUUAGCUAGUUGGUGGGGUAAAGGCCUACCAAGGCGACGAUCCGUAACUGGUCUGAGAGGAUGAUCAGUCAACCGGAAAUUGGAACCCGGUCAAGACCCCUACGGGAGGCAGCGUGGGGAAAAAUUGGCAAUUGGCCGAAACCUUGAUCCAGCCAGGCGGGGGGUGGGAAGAAGUUUUCCGAUUUUAAAACCCUUUUAAGUGGGAGGGAAGGGAAUUAAGUUAAACCUUUCUUGUUUGACCGUACCCACAGAAAUAACCACCGCUAACCUCCUU
rnacentral:rRNA from 1 species